rnacentral:rRNA from 1 species
AGCAGCCGCGGUAAUUCCAGCUCCAAUAGCGUAUAUUAAAGUUGUUGCAGUUAAAAAGCUCGUAGUUGAAUUUCGGGAUUAGUACGUUGGUCGUGCCUUCGGUACGUACUGGUGUUACUGAUUCCUACCUUCUGACGAACCAUCAUGUCAUUAAUUUGGUGUGGCGGGGAAUCAGGACUGUUACUUUGAAAAAAUUAGAGUGUUUAAAGCAGGCUCGCGCUUGAAUACAUUAGCAUGGAAUAAUGAAAUAGGACGUUGACCCUAUUUUGUUGGUUUCUAGGAUUGACGUAAUGAUUAAUAGGGAUAGUUGGGGGCAUUAGUAUUCAAUUGUCAGAGGUGAAAUUCUUGGAUUUAUUGAAGACUAACUACUGCGAAAGCAUUUGCCAAGGAUGUUUUCAUUAAUCAAGAACGAAAGUUAGGGGAUCGAAGACGAUCAGAUACCGUCGUAGUCUUAACCAUAAACUAUGCCAACUAGGGAUCGGAUGAUGUUAUUUUUAAUGACUCA